UUGGGUUACGUCCAUAAUAUGAUCAGAUUUUCAAUCAUUUUUUUAUAUGAAUCCCAACAUUAAAUACAGUUUCUGGUAAUGAGAUGAGAGAAUUCACAAUCGUACCCAUGUCUAGAUGAUAAACGAAAAGUCCAAAUGCAGGCAUACGGGAGGCCUCCCUGCGAACAGCGUCCAACGUGGAGUCAAAUGCACCGUCUUGGAGUAAAUAAAAUGGUGCAUUUGGUUAAAGUUAAUAUCAUGUAAUGACUCACAUGAAAUGGUGCAUUUCAUUUUUCAUUUCUCUCCUCGUGCUCUCCCUCCCCUUCCCUCUCUCUGUGCGAUCCCAUUCCCAAUCCUAACCCUCCUUCCCCUUCCCUCUCUCCGUGCGAUCAUGUUCCCAACCCUAACCCUAAAUGGUAGCAACAAGGUGCGUAACUCACUACUCCAAAAGAAAAAAAAGUACGUAAGUGGAAGAAGGUGUAUAUCAGAAUCCUGAUUUUCCUUUGAAGGUUUUGACAUCUUGAGUCCCCGAUGGUAAGUGGAAGAAGGUUUUGUUGGAAUUUGGUAUGAGAGGGAAAAUGGUAUACUGCUCCUUAUAAGAUUCGUGAUGAUUAAAAACUAACAGCGGCAAAAAGAUGAUGAGAAUUAGAUGAAACACAUGUUGGGAAGAUUAUGGAUCAAUGAAGUUUAAUGAGCUGAGCUGGUGAUCACGUGACCAGCACGUGACUCGUAAGCUGCAUCAAACAAGGGUUAAACUUGAGCCACAGGAUCUGGACAUGUGGAGCCAUCUAUUAUGCCAUAUAUAUACAUCGCUUUAGACCUCUGCUGUUAACCUAAUUCAUUAUGUAUUGUUUCUGCCGAUUGAGAGAGGGUUUUUGAGAGAGUGAGAACAGAGAGGGAAGAAAGCUAGGGUUUCACUGUGAGAAGAGAGAAUCUAUGAUUUUCUGUAGUGAGACGAGUGUUCUGUAAUAUGAGAGUGUUUUCUGAGGCUUCUCUAUGAAGGACACUGAUUAUCAAUAAAGCUCUAAGGCCAUUCCUGCCGUGGACGUAGACCAUUAGGGUCGAACCACGUAAA